GGCACUAAUCGCGCCCUGAUGGACCGCCCGACACGGGCGAUCAUCCACCGAGCGUCGGUCGCGACCCGCCCAGUUGUCCCCUUGGGCGGGUU
rnacentral:sRNA from 1 species